rnacentral:ncRNA from 1 species
CGGUCCUCGGUAGUGGCUUCCGGAAUCCGCAUUGCGCGGGCGUCCGUGAGCCUCGAUCGAAGACCG